rnacentral:rRNA from 1 species
CCUACGGGAGGCAGCAGUGGGGAAUAUUGGACAAUGGGCGAAAGCCUGAUCCAGCAAUGCCGCGUGAGUGAUGAAGGCCUUAGGGUUGUAAAGCUCUUUUACCAGGGAUGAUAAUGACAGUACCUGGAGAAUAAGCUCCGGCUAACUCCGUGCCAGCAGCCGCGGUAAUACGGAGGGAGCUAGCGUUGUUCGGAAUUACUGGGCGUAAAGCGUACGUAGGCGGUUAUUCAAGUCAGAGGUGAAAGCCUGGAGCUCAACUCCAGAACUGCCUUUGAAACUAGAUAGCUAGAAUCACGGAGAGGUUAGUGGAAUUCCGAGUGUAGAGGUGAAAUUCGUAGAUAUUCGGAAGAACACCAGUGGCGAAGGCGACUAACUGGACGUGUAUUGACGCUGAGGUACGAAAGCGUGGGGAGCAAACAGGAUUAGAUACCCUGGUAGUCCACGCCGUAAACGAUGAUAACUAGCUGUUCGGUCUCUACGAGACUGAGUGCGCNGCUACGACAUUAAGUUAUCCGUCCGUCGGGUAGGUACGGUCGCGAGAAGUUAAACGUACGUAAAGGUAAGUUAGUUAGCGUGAGAGUGCCGACGGCGACGACGAGGGAGGAGG